rnacentral:rRNA from 1 species
CCCUUAGAUGUUCUGGGCCGCACGCGCGCUACACUGGUCGAUGCAACGAGUUUCUUUCCUUGGCCGACAGGCCUGGGCAAUCUUUGAACAUCGAUCGUGAUCGGGAUAGAUUCUUGUAAUUUUUGAUCUUAAACGAGGAAUUCCUAGUAAACGCAAGUCAUCAGCUUGCAUUGAUUACGUCCCUGCCCUUUGUACACACCGCCCGUCGCACCUACCGAUUGAAUGGUCCGGUGAAAUCUCCGGACUGGCGUGAGUCGGAGCAAUCUGACAAACGCCGGAAAGUUGAUUAAACCUUACCAUUUAGAGGAAGGUGAANUCGUAACA